GUCUACGGCCAUACACUCCGAACGCACCCAAUCUUGUCUGACCUCAGAAGCUCCGCAGGGUGGGACCUCAUUAGUACUUGGAUGGGAAACUGCCUGGGAAUACAAGACGCUGUAGGCC
rnacentral:rRNA from 2 species